GUGGGGAAUAUUGGGCAAUGGAGGAAACUCUGACCCAGCGACGCCGCGUGCGGGAUGAAGGCCUUCGGGUUGUAAACCGCUUUCAGCAGGGAAGAAGCGAAAGUGACGGUACCUGCAGAAGAAGCACCGGCUAACUAUGUGCCAGCAGCCGCGGUAAUACAUAGGGUGCAAGCGUUGUCCGGAAUUAUUGGGCGUAAAGAGCUCGUAGGUGGUUUGUUACGUCGGAUGUGAAACUCUGGGGCUUAACCUCAGACCUGCAUUCGAUACGGGCAAGCUUGAGUAUGGUAGGGGAGACUGGAAUUCCUGGUGUAGCGGUGGAAUGCGCAGAUAUCAGGAGGAACACCAAUGGCGAAGGCAGGUCUCUGGGCCAUUACUGACACUGAGGAGCGAAAGCGUGGGGAGCGAACAGGAUUAGAUACCCUGGUAGUCCACGCCGUAAACGGUGGGCACUAGUUGUGGGAACCUUCCACGGUUUCUGCGACGCAGCUAACGCAUUAAGUGCCCCGCCUGGGGAGUACGAUCGCAAGAU
rnacentral:rRNA from 1 species